AAACCAGUGGACUGUAAGCUGCGCUGCCUAUCCUUCCACAGUUUCCACCUACCCACCGGUCAGCUCGGUCCACGGCACCGGAGCAUGCUCACCGUCGGCGGCCGCUUCCAGGGCGGAGCUCCCCCAUGGCGACGGCCCCGGCCACGCUCGCGUCUGGCGUCUCCGCCGGCCUCCAGCAGCGGCGCCGGCGACUCCGAAAAGGCCAGACCUUUGCUCGUGGAGAGGUACCGGGACGGCGCCGCCAAGAGGUAUAUGUUGGACGGCGACUCUAAGCUGCAAGUUCAGUGGGAGAAGCAUGAUGAAUCUUCAACGAACACUGUCGAAGAUGAAAAUGCAAAUUCUUCGAUUCCCCGGGCUGUUAGUGAUUUUGUACUUCCAGCAGGUUUUCCAGAAUCUGUUUCGGAUGAUUACCUGCAAUACAUGCUGUUGCAAUUCCCCACAAACGUGACAGGAUGGAUCUGUCACACAUUGGUUACAUCAAGUCUUCUGAAGGCUGUAGGUGUUGGGUCCUUUACAGGAACUUCAGCAGCUGCUGCUGCCGCUGCUAUCAGAUGGGUAUCAAAAGAUGGCAUAGGAGCUUUUGGACGUCUUCUUAUUGGUGGACGAUUUGGAACACUUUUUGAUGAUGACCCAAAGAAGUGGCGGAUGUAUGCUGAUUUCAUUGGGAGUGCUGGAAGCAUCUUUGAUCUCACCACUCCUCUCUAUCCUGGUUACUUCCUUCCACUUGCAUCAUUGGGGAAUCUUGCAAAGGCUGUAGGAAGAGGAUUUAGAGAUCCUUCCAAUCGUGUUAUCCAAAAUCACUUCGCAAAAUCGGGAAAUCUAGGGGAGAUUGCUGCAAAGGAGGAAGUAUGGGAAGUAGGAGCUCAGCUGGUAGGCCUUUCUAUUGGUGUACUUAUUCUGGACACGCCAGGUAUACAGUCUUCAUAUUUAACUCUUACUCUGACAUGGCUGGGUGUUCGUCUUCUGCAUCUUUGGUUUCGCUACCAGUCCCUAGUAGUUCUCAAGUUCCGCACAGUAAGGUUAACCUAAAACGCGCUCGGAUUCUUGUGAGGUCACAUGUUGCAAAUCAUACAGUUCCUGGCUAUGUUGCUUGCAAUGAGGAAGAGAAUAUUUUAACAUGGGAAAGAUUCUUGCAACCUCGAAUUUCUUUUGGUGUGCCCAUGGAGAGGAUGCUCGGUGGAGAGGAAUCCACUCACAUGGACAUGGUGAAUAUGCUGCUGAAGCUAUACAAGAAUGAGAAGUACAUCCUCUGUGUUGAGCAGCUUGGGUUAGAAGAGGCAACAUACCUGGUUACAUUCAAGGAGGCGGCAACAAGCAUGUCGGUCCUAAGAAGCCUAUGGCAAGCGCAUUGGCUUCACCAAAAUCGGCCGAAGCAGGACGACGUUGCCGCCUGGCUAGAAGAGAGCCUUUCUGCAUUGGAGGAUGGAUUUGCUGACUUCAUCAAACAGAUGGAGGAAGCUGGCUGGGAUCAAAGCCAAAUCUUCUUAAAGGUGCCAAAAGAACCUGUCUUGGUGUUGGAACACCUUGACCAGGAGGUGUGAGACAACAGAUGGAUCAUUUUUGGGGUUUGACCAGUGCUAACCAAUCAGUUCCAACCGAACGACAAACUGAAGCUCAAAGCCUCUGACGGUAGAUGCUUGGUGAGCUAGUAAACAACCUACAUUGCAAGAAACAUUGUUUGGCAUGUUGGCUCAAUGUUUUGUACUGUCAAAAGCAGAAAUUCACGGUUAAUCUAGCAUUAUUCAGCAGUCGGUAUAGUGGCAUAUUGGUGGAUUUCUGACCCAGUGACAUAAUCUCAGUCAUUCGCAUGAUGGUACACUGUUGUCCAUGUUGCUAUAGUUUGCUACUUUGCUUAGGCAUAACAUAUGUUCAUAUUAAUUGCUUCACUUCAUGGACAAGAAGCAGACAACAAAC
rnacentral:rRNA from 1 species